rnacentral:lncRNA from 1 species
AUUUGGUAUAGGGUUAGCAAAUAUCUUGGCACAUACUUUUAUAAACCAAGUAUGUUUAUGCCUCUCAUUGUUAUAACAGAGAACUUUAUUAAAUGCCUGAAUAUAAUCCCAAUAGGUAAAGCUUACCAUGACUUUGUUUAGACUGAAUUGUCUUUCAGUCAUUGAGGAAAUACCCCAAUCUUCAAUAUGAAUGACGUGUUUUAUAAUCAUUUUAGAGAAGUUAUAAACAUUCUCACUUGUAUUAUAUCCUGAAAAAUGUUGAAAUUCAACACCUGUGCUUAUCA